rnacentral:lncRNA from 1 species
CUUUCCAUGCGGAAACCUGAUAAUCCAGUGGAGCUUUUGCUGCUAGAUUGUACACUGGAGACAUGGAGACAGACACACCAUACACUGAGAAAGAUGUAGCGUCCCCUCCCUGCAUGAGAUUCUAAAGGAAUAGGAAAUGCUGGGACGGAGUCGCUGCCGCAGCAUGGCUGACAGUGGUGUCCCCAAAUUAUGUGAGUUUCAAGCCCCGCAAACUGUGGAUCUACCCUGUGUUGAACUCUUUAUCCCCAACAACUAGCACAGUGCCUUGCCUGACGUAGGCAGUCCACAAGAUCCCCUGGCUGAAUGGAAAAUGAAGAAGUGAUCAACUCACUGGUUUAGAACUCCUCAGCAAGAUUCCUGCAAGAUCCACAAGGGCCCCAGUUAGUUUCCUAGAAACUCUUUUACACCAGCCUACUUUCAAGAAAGUGGAACAGAAUGGGAAAGAAGGAAUAGAAUGAAAUGGAAUAGAAUGAAAAAUAUCACGAGUACAUCACAAGAAGAGAGGGACUCCAAGAAGCACAGAUGAAACUCUUUCCAUUUGGUCCCGUGAAGACAGUCUCCUCAUUCUUUCCUUGUCUAUAAAGAACGGUCG